ACAUGCAAGUCGAGCGGAUCUUGUUAGUAGCUUGCUACUAGCUUGGUUAGCGGCGGACGGGUGAGUAACACGUAGGCAACCUGCCCUUAAGAUCGGGAUAACAUUCGGAAACGAAUGCUAAGACCGGAUAAACAAUUUGGCUGCAUGGCCGGAUUGGGAAACGCGGAGCAAUCUGCGGCUUAGGGAUGGGCCUGCGGCGCAUUAGCUAGUUGGUGGGGUAAAGGCUCACCAAGGCGACGACGGGUAGCCGGCCUGAGAGGGCGACCGGCCACACUGGGACUGAGACACGGCCCAGACUCCUACGGGAGGCAGCAGUAGGGAAUCUUCCGCAAUGGACGAAAGUCUGACGGAGCAACGCCGCGUGAGUGAUGAAGGCYUUCGGGUCGUAAAGUCCUUUUCUGAGGGAAGAUAAUGACGGUACCUCAGGAAGAAGCUCCGGCUAACUACG
rnacentral:rRNA from 1 species